rnacentral:rRNA from 1 species
ACGGGUGAGUAAUGCUUGGGAAUCUGGCUUAUGGAGGGGGAUAACUACGGGAAACUGUAGCUAAUACCGCGUAGUAUCGGAAGAUGAAAGUGCGGGACCGUAAGGCCGCAUGCCAUGAGAUGAGCCCAAGUGGGAUUAGGUAGUUGGUGGGGUAAAGGCCUACCAGGCCUGCGAUCUCUAGCUGGUCUGAGAGGAUGGCCAGCCACACUGGAACUGAGACACGGUCCAG